AAUCUCAAGUCAUAUUCGCAAAACAAUCUAAAUGACUGCAGUGCUUAUAGAUGUAUGCCAGGCAAAGAUUCAGCUGUCGGCACUACUAAUCCCACUUGCAGUCAUGAGAAAAAAACUAAUCCUUCCACUAAUUCCAAUACUGGGCUUGAGAAUGUAUCAGGGCUAUCAGAUACAAAGCCUCGAAAAAAAGUGCUUGGAGGUUUGUCAAAUGGAUUUUUGGAUGAGUCUUCUUGCUUUGCAGAGGAGCAGAGCACAUUCAUGCUUG
rnacentral:misc_RNA from 1 species